UGCCAUAAUGAGAUUGCUUGGAAUAAUAUUAGCAAGGGUCAUGACUGUCAAAAGAACAGUUUGUUUGCCAUCAUCAGCCAAUAAUUCGAAAAGAAUCUGAGAUUUCUGUUUAGAACAUGCCGACAUUUUGCAACACAAGAAGAGUUUAGCGGUCAGCUUGAAUGCUAGCUAGAUACAAAACGAUGCAACAGAGCACAUCAAUACGAUGUACAAAAUGACGGUGUCAACAUCCAGUUGCGCAGUUUCACCUGUCUCACAACUGGAGCUAAUGUUGCAAAUGUGUCUUCAAAAGCAAAGCGAUGAGUAUUGUUUGUUAUUAUGACAUUUGCUUUGACCAAGGGUGUAGGGCGUCAAGACCAGGAACUAUAAGCUCAGAGCUUAUUGUCUGGUUCUACAAAAGGUGAAGAUAGACAGAGAGCUAUUGCAAUAAUGCUUAACAGACUACUGGUGACGGACGUUAAGCUAAGCCAAGUUGACGGAGAGUCAUUGCAUAGGCUGGCUUCAUCGUUAUAGUGAGCAUGUUACUUAAUUUGUCGGCCUUAGUUGCAAACACUUUGGAAUGUGCUUUAGCAUGUUUGGCCAUUUCUUUAAAGUCCAUAGCUAGAAUGAUUUGUGUGUGGUGGGAAACCCCGGGUUCGGGAAAACCUUCUUUGGUCCACACUAUCUUCUACCUGUAGGUACACUCCUAGUUUAAAUCACACAGAAGUCACAAAUGAAUGAAAGUGAUUAGUGAUGUCAAAACAUGUUAAUUUAAACAAGCAAAAUAACUCAAAAACAUGACCCCCAAAAAUGACUGAAACUCAUGGUAUUCUUCAGAAGCAUAAUAUCAGAUAUCCAUUACUAUCUAAGUGGUUUUAAACCACAUAUACCCUGUUUUUGAAGUGUUGGUCAUGAUUAUUGAUUGGUCGUGAUUGGUCAUGAUUGGUCGGCAUUUAGUAUCGCCCCAUCUUGCACUUUUAUGAAAAUGCCGCCAUGUUGGAUUAUAAUCGAAAAUUUCGUGAUACAAAUUGGGUCAUUGUGGAACCAAAACUGGACAGAUUUUCAUCUAACUACUUUCAAAAGAUUGUUAGGAGACUGGACAAUUGGAAUAUGAUGGUGUGGACAUUCAUAAAGUACGAACACAGGGAGUAAUAUAGGCCGAAAGGCUAAGCAUGAUACCGCUUCGUCGCUACACAGUAGUCUUACAUGUAAAUGAGUGUACAUGCUUAUACAUGUAUACAGUGUGCGUGUUUAUCACCUAAAAAACUCAUUGCUGUUAUAAAUGAAAACAUCAUGCCGAACACCGACAAGAACAGUGUCCUGUCAAGCGCAUUCAUUGAUGACGAGAUGCGAGAUCCUAAUUGGAAUGCAAAUCUUUCAGUCAACAACUUGUUGAGGAGGGUGCACAGUUGGUGAAUAUGAUCGAAAACAGCAUCAGCUCAGCCUGCUGUCAACAACUGAUAGUGGUUCAGAUGACGAUGAUGCCAUUGGUCGUGCCCCA